CGGACGGGUGAGUAAUGUCUGGGAAACCGCCUGAUGGAGGGGGGUAACUACUGGAAACGGUAGCUAAUACCGCAUAACGUCGCAAGACCAAAGAGGGGGACCUUCGGGCCUCUUGCCAUCGGAUGUGCCCAGAUGGGAUUAGCUAGUAGGUGGGGUAACGGCUCACCUAGGCGACGAUCCCUAGCUGGUCUGAGAGGAUGACCAGCCACACUGGAACUGAGACACGGUCCAG
rnacentral:rRNA from 1 species